GAGAGAGAAACAGAGAGAGAAUGUAGGUAGAGAUAAACAGAGAGAACAGAGAGAGAGGGAGAGAGAAACAGAGAGAGAAUGUAGGUAGAGAUAAACAGAGAGAACAGAGAGAGAGGGAGAGAGAAACAGAGAGAGAAUGUAGGUAGAGAUAAACAGAGAGAACAGAGAGAGAGGGAGAGAGAAACAGAGAGAGAAUGUAGGUAGAGAUAAACAGAGAUAACAGAGAGAGAGGGAGAGAGAAACAGAGAAAGCACAUGCUUUCUCUGUUUAUCAGAAUGAAUGUUUUCUUCUGUAAUAUGUGACUCCUUUUUUGUUUUAGUAUAGGUUUAGAGUUUUGAAUUACAUCAAAAUAAAAAGUACAAUCAUUGGUAUAAAUGUGCAACAAUAUGGAGACAUAGGGAGGGACAUGGACCAAGGUGUGGAAUGAUGAUGAUGAGAACAGGGUGACAACUUAUCUAAAGAUGGAUCACAGCCUAACUUCCACUUAAGUAAAAUUACCACUUAUUCAUUUAUUAAUGUCAAUGGGAGACUGGGUGACAAUUUGGCUUGAGGAUUGACCCCUUAGUUUAUACAUGGUCUAACCGGAGGUGGCAUUAGUUUUACAUGACACUAAGUUCCUGGAGUGACAGUCAGUGCAGAUGGAGCCAAACUAUCUGACUUAAGACCAUUCAAACGUAUGUAUUUGAAAUCGGAGACUCAAGUACUAUUCUACAUUUCAAAUGAGUCAUUGAAUUUGUGACUAAAGCUUUGGGUUGGUGGACCAGCAGAGCUCCUUACCCUGUGGAUGCAGGAAAAACAAGUGUUGGAUCAAUGACUUCUUCUAACAGCCCUGCUGACUAGUAGAGCGAACAAGCAUCUCUCUGCUGGAGUUCUUACUUAGAGUCUGUAUCACCAAUGGCACACUAUUCUCUAUAUAGUGCACUACUUUCAACCAGAGACUCGGUUUAGUCUGGUAUAAAGGGGAGAGGGUAUCAUUUGGGAGUCACACAGUGACACAGCUGUUACAGUCACCCUUUACAGGCUAGUUUAAACAGCCUGUUGCGAGUCUAAAACCGCACACCUUUUGCGUAACCCUUUAC
ensembl:lncRNA